UUGGAGCAUCUGUUUGAGCUUCUCAAGGCCUGAAAUCACCUGUUUCACUUCUGCAUCUUCAACAAGGUCAGAAUUCGAAUGUCUUGAUUCAUGAAAUUGAUAGGUGAUAGUUGUAGAUCUUUGAACACUGAGCAUGCUGAGCUUUAGAUCAUUAAUUUUCAUGAAGAAUUGAGUAAGAUAUGUUAGAUUUAAGUUUGAUGCAUGAAAAUGUAUGUGUUCGAUUC
rnacentral:lncRNA from 1 species